CAAUAUGAAGGUCAGGCUGAAGACCUUACCCGAUUUAGCUGAGAGGUGGUGCAUGGCCGUCGUCAGUUCGUACUGUGAAGCAUCCUGUUAAGUCAGGCAACGAGCGAGACCCACGUCCACAGUUGCCAGCAUACCCUCCGGGGUGAUGGGUACACUGUGGAGACCGCCGCUGCUAAAGCGGAGGAAGGAGUGGGCAACGGUAGGUCAGUAUGCCCCGAAUCUCCCGGGCUACACGCGGGCUACAAUGGUUGGUACAAUGGGCAUCUACCCCGAAAGGGGAAGGAAAUCUCUUAAAGCCAAUCGUAGUUCGGAUUGAGGGCUGCAACUCGCCCUCAUGAAGCUGGAAUCCGUAGUAAUCGCGUCUCAACAGAACGCGGUGAAUACGUCCCUGCUCCUU
rnacentral:rRNA from 1 species